CUGAGGUUAAAUGAAACAUCCGCUUUGCUUUCCUCUACCAAUGGGCUACAGAGAGGAUUUGAGCAUCUACAGAGCAUCGGUAGAAGUUGACAGAGACUGACCGUCAUGUAAUACUGGUGAACUGAAAUACCUGUCCUGACAGUGGGACCAGGGCAAGCAUGGAUGGUGCUAUUAUUGGACA